GGAGAGGUGGCUGAGUGGUUAGAGCACUGGCUGCUCUGCAGAGGACCUGGGUUCAACUCCCAGCACACCCG
rnacentral:tRNA from 1 species